rnacentral:rRNA from 1 species
ACUCCUACGGGAGGCAGCAGUGGGGAAUAUUGCACAAUGGGCGCAAGCCUGAUGCAGCCAUGCCGCGUGUGUGAAGAAGGCCUUCGGGUUGUAAAGCACUUUCAGUCGUGAGGAAGGUAGUGUAGUUAAUAGCUGCAUUAUUUGACGUUAGCGACAGAAGAAGCACCGGCUAACUCCGUGCCAGCAGCCGCGGUAAUACGGAGGGUGCGAGCGUUAAUCGGAAUUACUGGGCGUAAAGCGCAUGCAGGUGGUUUGUUAAGUCAGAUGUGAAAGCCCCGGGGCUCAACCUCGGAAUAGCAUUUGAAACUGGCAGACUAGAGUACUGUAGAGGGGGUAGAAUUUCAGGUGUAGCGGUGAAAUGCGUAGAGAUCUGAAGGAUACCGGUGGCGAAGGCGGCCCCCUGGACAGAUACUGACACUCUACGAUGCGAAAGCGUGGGGACGCAAACAGGAUUAGAUACCCUGGUAG